CCUACGGGUGGCAGCAGUGAGGAAUAUUGGUCAAUGGACGAGAGUCUGAACCAGCCAAGUCGCGUGAAGGAAGACUGCCCUAUGGAUUGUAAACUUCUUUUGUAGGGGAGUAAAAGGCUCCACGCGUGGGAUUUUGUAUGUACCAUAUGAAUAAGGAUCGGCGAACUCCGUGCCAGCAGCCGCGGUAAUACGGAGGAUUCGAGCGUUAUCCGGAUUUAUUGGGUUUAAAGGGUGCGUAGGUGGAAAGAUAAGGCAGUUGUGAAAGUUUGCGGCUUAACCGUAAAAUUGCAGUUGAAACUGGCUGUCUUGAGUACAGUAGAGGUAUGCGGAAUUCGUGGUGUAGCGGUGAAAUGCUUAGAUAUCACGAAGAACUCCGAUUGCGAAGGCAGCUUACUGGACUGCAACUGACGCUGAGGCACGAAAGUGUGGGUAUCAAACAGGAUUAGAUACCCGAGUAGUC
rnacentral:rRNA from 1 species